GAUGACAGGGUCAAAAGGUCAAGCGUUUCAUGCUUGCAUGAAAAAGCAUGACUUUGGGACCUGUAAAAACAUGAGAAAGUAGCCCGGCAGGGCGGAUUUCGAAUGUUUUUAGGAUUGUGAGAGUGCGCAGCACGGAACAAUCCGUAGGCAUC
rnacentral:sRNA from 1 species